UAUCUCUCUGUACAGGGAAGGAUGAGAAGCUUCGAUUAAGGUUCGAUUCGAGCGCAGCGAGAAAGCGUUGCCGCAGGCAACGGCCCGAAGGGCGCGACGCGCCGAGUCAUCCUUCCCCUACCACAA
rnacentral:sRNA from 1 species